AGUGAACGCUGGCGGUAGGCCUAACACAUGCAAGUCGAACGGCAGCACAGUAAGAGCUUGCUAUUACGGGCGGAGGGUGGAGGAAGGGUGCGGAAUACAUCGGAAUCUACUUUUUCGCGGGGGAUAACGUAGGGAAACUUACGCUAAUACCGCAUACGACCUACGGGUGAAAGCAGGGGAUCUUCGGACCUUGCGCGACUGAAUGAGCCGAUGUCGGAUUAGCUAGUUGGCGGGGUAAAGGCGCACCAAGGCGACGAUCCGUAGCUGGUCUGAGAGGAUGAUCAGCCACACUGGAACUGAGACACGGCCCAGACUCCUACGGGAGGCAGCAGUGGGGAAUAUUGGACAAUGGGCGCAAGCCUGAUCCAGCCAUGCCGCGUGGGUGAAGAAGGCCUUCGGGUUGUAAAGCCCUUUUGUUGGGAAAGAAAAGCAGCAGGUUAAUACCCCGCUGUUCUGACGGUACCCAAAGAAUAAGCACCGGCUAACUUCGUG
rnacentral:rRNA from 1 species